ACUACGGGAGGCAGCAGUAGGGAAUCUUCCACAAUGGGCGCAAGCCUGAUGGAGCAACACCGCGUGAGUGAAGAAGGGUUUCGGCUCGUAAAGCUCUGUUGUUGGAGAAGAACGUGCGUGAGAGUAACUGUUCACGCAGUGACGGUAUCCAACCAGAAAGUCACGGCUAACUACGUGCCAGCAGCCGCGGUAAUACGUAGGUGGCAAGCGUUAUCCGGAUUUAUUUGGCGUAAAGCGAGCGCAGGCGGUUGCUUAGGUCUGAUGUGAAAGCCUUCGGCUUAACCGAAGGAGUGCAACGGAAACCGGGCAAAUUGAGUGGAGAAGAGGACAGUGGAACUCCAUGGGUAGCGGGGGAAUGCGUAGAUAUAUGGGAGAAAACCAGUGGCGAAGGCGGCUGUCUGGUCUGCAACUGACGCUGAGGCUCGAAAGCAUGGGUAGCGAACAGGAUUAGAUACCCCCGGUAGUC
rnacentral:rRNA from 1 species